UACGUAGGGUGCGAGCGUUGUCCGGAAUUACUGUGCGUAAAGAGCUCGUAGGUGGCCUGUCGCGUCGGCUGUGAAAACUCGGGGCUCAACUCCGAGCUUGCAGUCGAUACGGGCAGACUAGAGUGCGGUAGGGGAGACUGGAAUUCCUGGUGUAGCGGUGAAAUGCGCAGAUAUCAGGAGGAACACCGGUGGCGAAGGCGGGUCUCUGGGCCGUAACUGACGCUGAGGAGCGAAAGCGUGGGGAGCGAACAGG
rnacentral:rRNA from 1 species